UGUUCUGUAGCUUAGUUGGUUAAAGCACUGCACUAGCGAUAACGGAGUCGUGGGUUCGAAUCCCACCAAAACAA
rnacentral:tRNA from 1 species